ACAUCACUUUUCGUGUCCCCUUUUGAAAAUAUCACAAUACCCUUUGCAUCUUCAAUUCUUCACAAAGCUAACAGUUCCCGUGCGGCGCAUCAGCUACCCUACCACCAUUUUCUUCAACCUAAAACAUUAAACCCCCAAUUUCUCUCCUAUUUUCGCUCUAAUUUUCACCCCAAUUUCUUCAAUUUUCUUGCCGGAAUAUGCUUCAAAUAUGCAUCAACCAAACAUUCAGCACAAUGGAACCAAAAAAUUCAUGAAACAAAACCCUAGAAAUUUCAAAUUUCAAAUUCAAGUGAAGUAACAAAUGGAUCGAAACGAAGAACGAGAGAAUCAGCGUAAAGUAAAAGAACAAGGGAUGGAUUUUGCAAAGAAAGAGUACGCAUUUCUAAAGGAGAUUGAUAUUAGCUCGCGUAACCUAGGAUGCCAUGUGAACGGAAAAGGGAAGGCUAAUGGUCCUGUCAUCUCAACUGUUAACCCUGCUAACAAUCAGGUAUAUACCAUUUCUUGAAUUUAUGUCAUUUGUAAAAAGCAAUUGACAAAGAUGGAUUUUGUUUUAUUAUCUGGGUGAGUAGAUUGAAAUUAGAGCAAUUUAUUCUGUACUAUAUUGUUGAAUUGGGUUUUGAUUGUCUGAUUUAUCACCUUUGUUUGUAUGUUGGGUUGUAAUUUUAUCAUGAUUUUCCGAGCUUAAGUUUUAGGUUUUUGACUUUUGUUGUGACUUCAUCGUUAUACCUCCUUCUUAAAGUUUUGGUUUUUGUCAUAAUUCUGUGAAUCAUACACAUGUUUCAGCCACAAAAAAAGUUGAUGUUGUUGAUUAGUUGAUGGGAUGAGGGGCAUGGUGGAAGUAGUUUACUAGAGAAAUAUGCUGUAUUUUGUUGGUGUUUUAUAUGUUUAUAUGCUAAACUAGAAAUUUGCUUAUUAUUGGUAAGCUUUUGGGGCUUUAUUUUAGAAUUUCAGAUUUAAUUGAAGUUGUUGAUGUUUAUUUUAUAGCUUUGAUGAUGAAUUGGUUACCCGCUUCAUCUUUGAAUUUCGUCGUUUUUUAUUGAAAUAAUUCAUAUUUUCGUUAAAAAUGGAGUUAAUCUGAUCUGAGUUUGCUGUAAUGUGGGAUAAUUGAAGUUAUCGUGAAUUUAUUUCUUCAAAUUCGUCAGGAAUUUUACUGAAUUUUAGUCAAGUGAAGGUUUCGUACAAAUGGGUGACUCGAUUUUUUGUGAAAAUUUAGGAAAUUCAUGGGUAAUUGAAAUUAUGUCUCAUGAUUAUGCUAUGAAAAGUAUUAAUUUUGUCUCCUCAAAUUCAAUUAGAAUUAGUUCAUUUUAGUUAAGCAAAGGCUUUUGCAUAAUUGGGUGACUCAAUGCAAAUUUUGGAAUUUAAUGGAUACCUAUUAGUUCUUAUUUUCGUCAAACAUGGAGUAAUCUGAUCUGGGGUUUGCUGUAAUUUGAUUUUUGGAUGAUGGGAAAUAACCUAAUGUGGGUAAUUGAAAUUAUGGCUCAUGAUUAUGCUAUGUGAAGUAUUGAUUUGUUUCUUGAAAUUUGUUUGUUAAGUGAAAGUUUUGCACAAUUGGGUGACUCGAUUUUUAGUGCACAUUUAGGAAUAUUGUGGAUGACUUUGCCUAUUGUUUUGUGCAAAUUCUGAAUUUUCAGAUUGGACAUCUGCUAUCAAAACUAAAUACUAGGGCAGAUUUCUAUGCAACUGAGUGGCCAAAUAAAAGUCUUUUUUUGUAACACCAGUAAGACGAUUUAAAGAGUGUAGAUUUCUAGAUUGCAACUUUGAAAGAGAAAACCCAUAUAAAGGGUGUUGCAUUGUUAUAACAAGAAAACAAAUGUUUGCAACUGACUAACAAAAAGAGUUGCAGGAAAUAUAAGCAAUUAUACAAAAUUUGAGUACAUGGCAAGUUUGGUAACAAGUAUUCAGACCCUUGGCAUAACAAAUUCUAAAUAUACUUUCUGAAAAACAAUAGUCUUUAACAAAUCCAACCUAUCAAUCUAUUCUCGCUACAUUUGGAAUAAUAAAAGUACUCCUGCAGGACCUUUAACUUGAUGGACCAACCCACUAAAGAUCACAAAAAAAUAAAUAAGGAAAAUGAUCCUAAUAAUUGCCUGAGGCCUUCUCUCCAGGAACCAGAAGACAACUUCAAUCAUCUACCGAAAUAUCUUUAGCUCGGUCACAAACACUGCAACUCCACAACAUACUUUCUCAUCUUCUUUCUGAAAAUUUCCAGAGCAACACUCUACUGAUAUCAAAGCUAUCACUUUCAAUAAGUGUUUUGGGUAGUUUGGCUGUUUAUAUGAACUAUGAAAACUCUGUUAUUUACUUAUUUGUGUUUGGUUGAUUAGACAGGAACAUAAUUUGUAGUUCUUUAAUUUAUUUUUGUUAGAAUUAAGUUUUGCACUUGGGUGACUCCUUACACGGACUCCUCUUAUAUGUAGCUCUUAUCCCUUUGUGUUGAUUGGGAUGUUUGUAGUGAUUUCUUGAAUAAUUUGAUCCAAUUUUGAUAAAUUACCAUCGUUUUGGUUAUAUAAUAGAGAUUUGCAACAUGGAAUAUGUAUAAUAAUCAGUAAUUUGAUAUAACUGAAAUGCUCUAUACUCCCUCCGUCCCAUAAUAUAGUGCCUGUUUUCCUAAAAUGGUGUCCCUAAAUGAUGUGCCUAUUUCUAUUUUAAACCAUUAAUUUUUACUUUGAAAAUUGUAUUUUUUGACUUUUAUUCAACCCAUGUGCUUGAUUUUUGUCUUUUUUUAGGCCUAUUUAUUAUGUACACACCUUUAAUCUCUAAUUUCUCUUUCCAUAAAAGCCAACUAACAUGUACUUUAUCUUGAAAGAACAAAUAAUUAUUGUUUUUAUUAUCAAUGUUAUACUUUACCUUAAUAAUCGUGAUUUUGGUCAAACGGGCACUAUAUUAUGGGACGGAGGGAGUAAUUGAUUUUACAUCAUGUAUUUGAAUGGUUAAUUUGUUGUUAAAUUAGAGUGGCUUGCAGAGUUGCGGUAUGUAAUGGUGGGAUAUGUUGACAAGUUCCCGAGUUCCCUUCAAAUUUGUUUUUCUGUUGUGAAGUAGAGGAUGAAAGAUGGAGGAGAAACUCCAAUUGUUCUUAACCAUAUCAUUUAUGAGAGGAUGAAAGAAAAACACCCAGAAUUUGUUCGAGAACUCUGGUAUUGGGAGAAGGGAUAAUCCCGAAUCCCCUAUAAGUCGUGGAUGGAAAUCAACUUUCUUGACUAAUGAUAAGAGCAUUGCCGAGCAAAGGUUUGUGGGUUAUUUGAUCUUUUCAGUGAUAAUUUUUUCGGUCAUUUAACAAAAUGUUCAACAGUAUGUGCAUUUUUAUGGAAGAUGCCAGAAAUUCUAGAUAGAGCUCAACUAACAAUCAUGUAUGUCUGUUGGGACUUGGGAGUGAGUUACAGUGUUAAUGUAUUGCAGUAACUAUGUAGUUUAGAAUAGGCUAUCUAUUGGAAUGAUCCAAUGAACUUUGUGAACAAUAUGAUGCAUACUUUUAUUAAGACUAACUUUGUGAAUAA